UCACCACCUGUGGCUCAUCAAGCAAUCAACCCAAGCAGUGAAAUACUCGUCCACUUUUUGCCAGUUUGUCAGUUUACCUCCCGUGGUACUAUUGCUUUGACCAACUCUUUUGGAAAUCGUAGUCUUGUUGAGUAUGUUUGUGUCUGUGUAUCCUGUCAAGUUCUUCUUAGAAUCAAGCCAGUAUGCAAAAUCCCAGAGCCAGUAUCUUCAUGGUGGAGAGCUAAGAGGAGGCAGAGGUGCACCACAAAUAAUAUUGAAAAUGUCCUGUUGCACAGUAGCCAGGCUGCUGUGUUAUAGUGCUGUGAAAGUUCUCCCACUGCAACCUUGUCUACUUCCACUCUCUUCUGGGAAACUGUGAGGGAACCUUUUGUUCUUGCUUUUAUACAAAAAUACCACGGUUCAAAAGGUGUGAAUUUAUGACGUAUAUUCAUCCUGACUCUGGACCCAGGAAGUUGGAUGGGGAGUGCUGAUGGGACUGGAGCUGGAGAGCGGAAAGAUGGUGGAUCUGGCUGUGGAGAAGCAGUUUACAGGAGACACUGCUUACAAGUUUUAAUGCAUUCAAAACCCUGAUGUCUAACUGAACAAAAGACUAACUACCAUGAAGAUGUGUUUGAGUGAAAGAAGAACAUCCAAUUGAAUGGACCCCAGAAAGAAUAACCAAUCCGUAUGCUGGUGCUAAUGGGGAUCCUAAAGAAGAAGUA